rnacentral:rRNA from 1 species
AGCCCGCAGGGGGAGGCAAAUCCCAAAAAUAAACGUCCCAGUUCGGACUGUAGUCUGCAACCCGACUACACGAAGCUGGAAUCGCUAGUAAUCGCGAAUCAGAAUGUCGCGGUGAAUACGUUCCCGGGUCUUGUACACACCGCCCGUCACGCCAUGGGAGUCGGGAAUGCCCGAAGUCAGUGACCCAACCAUAUGGAGGGAGCUGCCGAAGGCAGGUCUGAUAACUGGGGUGAAGUCGUAACAAGGUAGC